rnacentral:rRNA from 1 species
UAGCGAAAGCGAAUCCUAAUGAGGGUGUUGUCAGUGGCAUGUUCUGGACCCGAAGCGGGGUGAUCUACCCAUGGCCAGUGUGAAGCAGCUGUAAGAGGUUGUGGAGGCGCGAACCCACUUAGGUUGAAAACUGAGGGGAUGAGCUGUGGGUAGGGGUGAAAGGCCAAUCAAACUCCGUGAUAGCUGGUUCUCCCCGAAAUGCAUUUAGGUGCAGCGUUGUGUGUUUCUUGCUGGAGGUAGAGCUACUGGUUGGUUGAGCGGGACUACAAUCUUAGCAAUGUCAGCCAAACUCCGAAUGCCGGUAAUGUUAAGCAUGGCAGUGAGACUGCGGGGGAUAAGCUCCGUUGGUCGAGAGGGAAACAGCCCAGAUCGCCGGUUAAGGCCCCUAAGGGUGUACUAAGUGGAAAAGGAUGUGGGAUCGCGAAGACAGCCAGGAGGUUGGCUUAGAAGCAGCCAUCCUUGAAAGAGUGCGUAAUAGCUCACUGGUCGAGUGGUUCUGCGCCGACAAUGUAGUGGGGCUCAAGUACACCGCCGAAGCCGCGGCAGUCAGCAUUUUUUGUUGGUUGGGUAGGGGAGCGUCGUGCACUGCUGUGAAGCACCUGGGUGACUUGAUGGUGUGGAGUGUGUGCGAGUGAGAAUGCAGGCAUGAGUAACGAAUGAAAAGUGGAAAACUUUUCCGCCGGAUGACUAAGGGUUCCUGGGUUAAGCUAAUCUUCCCAGGGUGAGUCGGGACCUAAGGCGAGGCCGACAGGCGUAGUCGAUGGAUAACCAGUUGAUAUUCUGGUACCCGUGUAUGUGCGCCCAGUGGUGAAUCAGUGGUACUAACCAUCCAUGGAUCUUCUGGUCAUGCUUUUUGUGUGGUUGGUGGUGAUGUGCGUGGGAUCUUCGUUGGUAGUAGCCAAGUGAUGGGGUGACGCAGUGAGGUAGCUGAGCCAUGUAGUGGAUUGUGGUGUAAGCGUGUGGCCCGUGGCAUAGGUAAAUCCGUGUCGCAUAGUGGGUGAGGCGUGAUGCGUAGACCUUUGUGGUUGAUGUUGGUGAUCCUGUACUGUCGAGAAAAGCCUCUAGCGAGUGCAUAUAUGGCCCGUACCCAUAACCGACACAGGUGGUCAGGUAGAGAAUACUAAGGCGAUCGGGUGAACUGUGGUUAAGGAACUCGGCAAAUUGCCCCCGUAACUUCGGGAGAAGGGGGACCAUUGCUGGUGACCGACGUGGUUGAGCUGGUGGUGGUCGCAGAGAAUAGAGGGAAGCGACUGUUUAUUAAAAACACAGGUCCGUGCGAAAACGUGGAAGUUGAUGUAUACGGACUGACGCCUGCCCGGUGCUGGAAGGUUAAGAGGACCUGUUAGGGCAUUGUUGUCCGAAGCGGAGAAUUUAAGCCCCAGUAAACGGCGGUGGUAACUAUAACCAUCCUAAGGUAGCGAAAUUCCUUGUCGGGUAAGUUCCGACCUGCACGAAUGGCGUAACGACUUCCCUGCUGUCUCAACCACAGGCCCGGUGAAAUUGCAGUACGAGUAAAGAUGCUCGUUACGCGCGGCAGGACGAAAAGACCCCGGGACCUUCACUAUAGCUUGGUAUUGGUGUUUGGUUCGGUUUGUGUAGGAUAGGUGGGAGACUGUGAAGUGGUCACGCUAGUGGUUGUGGAGUCGGAAGUUGAAAUACCACUCUGAUCGGAUUGAGCACCUUAACCUUGGCCCAUGAUCUGGGUUGGGGACAGUGCCUGGUGGGUAGUUUAACUGGGGCGGUUGCCUCCUAAAAUGUAACGGAGGCGCCCAAAGGUUCCCUCAGCCUGGUUGGCAAUCAGGUGGUGAGUGUAAGUGCACAAGGGAGCUUGACUGUGAGACUGACAGGUCGAGCAGGGACGAAAGUCGGGACUAGUGAUCCGGCAUCUACUUGUGGAAGUGGUGUCGCUCAACGGAUAAAAGGUACCCCGGGGAUAACAGGCUGAUCUUCCCCAAGAGUCCAUAUCGACGGGAUGGUUUGGCACCUCGAUGUCGGCUCGUCGCAUCCUGGGGCUGGAGUAGGUCCCAAGGGUUGGGCUGUUCGCCCAUUAAAGCGGCACGCGAGCUGGGUUUAGAACGUCGUGAGACAGUUCGGUCUCUAUCCGCCGCGCGCGUUGAAACUUGAAGAAGGCUGUCCCUAGUACGAGAGGACCGGGACGGACGUACCUCUAGUGUGCCAGUUGUCACGCCAGUGGCAGGGCUGGUUGGCUACGUACGGGAGGGAUAACCGCUGAAAGCAUCUAAGCGGGAAGCCUGUUUUGAGAUGAGGUUUCUUUUGAGGUUCCCUCUAGACUAGGGGGUUGAUAGGCCAGAUCUGGAAGCGUAGUAAUGCGUUAAGGUGACUGGUACUAAUAUGACCGAGUAAUAACAUUGU